UACGAAGGGGGCUAGCGUUGCUCGGAAUUACUGGGCGUAAAGCGCACGUAGGCGGCUCUUUAAGUCGGGGGUGAAAUCCUGGAGCUCAACUCCAGAACUGCCUUCGAUACUGAAGAUCUUGAGUUCGGGAGAGGUGAGUGGAACUGCGAGUGUAGAGGUGAAAUUCGUAGAUAUUCGCAAGAACACCAGUGGCGAAGGCGGCUCACUGGCCCGAGUACUGACGCUGAGGCACGAAAGCGUGGGGAGCAAACAGG
rnacentral:rRNA from 1 species